rnacentral:lncRNA from 1 species
CGAUAAACAAAUACUUGUGACAAAGGAUCAAGUCUUUGUCAAUAAGAACAUCAUUGAUGGAAGAUACAUUGGAAAAAGACCACCAAACUUUUUUUUUCUUAGCCAUUGUUAUUACUGUGUUAAAUCCGCUAUUGGGACCAAAAGCUAUUUUGUUCUCUUGUAAGUAUUUAAUCACUUUUUGAUCCAGCCGCUUACAAUAAUACCAGGUACAAUGUAUAUAAACACGUCCAAGAUAACAGUAUUAAACAAGAGUUUCGUGACUUUCGUCUACAAAAGACUGUGACGCUCGAUUCAAAAAAUUAAAAAGGCCAAUUAAAGUUGUUCAUAUAUUUCUAUUGUCUUUAGGGGCACCACUUUGAUCCCUGUCACCUUUUCCUGAAUCUUACGCUAUUGAUCAAAUAAUAACACAUGUACAGUACUGUAACAUUAAAUUUUAUUUAAUCAGGCUUCAACAUUAUUUUAAUGCUUAAAUAAAGGUUGUGUCUAUUUAUUUAACGCAUCAAUGUAAAAAUAUCGGAAAUUGAUGAGACUGUCAUUAAAGUGAGAGGGUUAGCGCUAUAGAACCAGGUUUAAUCCACCAUUUCCUACAUUUGAAAUCCUGUACCAAGUAGGAAUAUGACAGUUUUGUCUCCAUUCGUUUUUUGAUGCGUUUUGUUAUUUGAUUUUGCCAUGUGAUUAUUGACUUUCCCAAUUGAUCUUUCUCUAAGUUCAGUAUUUUUGUGAUUUUACUUUUUGGUGGUGUUAACAUACAUUUAAGCACAUGUUUACAACUCCCCGUCCAACCGAAUUACUUGAAUAUACUUUGUAAGUUUCACUAGUACAUACUUUUUCUAUGUACUACACGUAGGUACAUGUUACUUUUUGCAUGAAUAACUACAGGGAAAAUAUUUUCAUUGUAUUGUAAUUGAGAUAUUUAAACAAAAAGUGCCACUGGCUUUUUUAGAUUAAAAUAUUGUGUCCCAAAUUUUAGAAUAUAGCAAAGUGCUCUCUACCAAUAAAAUUGUAGGAUUUGAUGUCUCUAAAUUGUGAAGAUUAAUGUAAUCAUGUUCUUAGUCAGGGAUUAUCCUAUUAUUUGGGUCUAUUUACAGUUUAAAACAAAGAGAUUCUAUAAAUGAGUUAAAACUGCCCCAUCAAAGCACAUUUAUCAGAUCGAAAGGAUUAUCACAUUAAUUGAAACUGACAAGUUGAAUUGUAAACAAACAAACAAAUCAAAAUAAAUUGAAGUUUACUGGUGCAGUAAAAUUUGUACCUUGUUUAAUGUUAUUAUGAAAAUAUUAAUAACUUCAAAUUACAAAAAAAAUCAAUAUCAAAGCAAAAGAAAAAGAAAAUAAGUUUUACAAUAAAAAAUAACCUAAACCUCUAGCUUUCCAAACUUUAAUUACUGAACCAGCGGUUGGGAAGAAUAGUUAUUUUUGAUAAAUAUAAGAAGAUGUGAUAUAUAUGAGUGCCAAUGAGACAAGUCCCAUCCAAUUCACAAUGAGUAAAAAGUAAACCAUUAUAGGUCAAAGUACGGCCUUCAACGCGAAGGCUUGGCUCACACCGAACAGCAAGAUAUAAAGGGUCCCAAAAAUGACUAGUGUAAAACCAUUUAAACAGGAAAACCAACGGUCUAGUCAUAUAAAAUCUUGUGUUUUGAAUUUCAAGCAAUUUGAUUGUACAAGGACUUGAUAUAUUUACUUAAGUUGGAAAAAAGAAUGUCACAUAAAAUGAUGAUCAUAUUGCGGUCAAUUUAUAAACUUCAAAGAAUUUGAUCCCUUUCAUUAUGAGAACUGAGAAUGUCUGUAGGGAAUGUGCCACCUUAAUCUAUGUUUUGACACAGCUUUACUUUGACUUAGAAAUAUUUAUUUACAAAAACACAAAAUAGUUAUCAAAAGUACCAGGAUUAUAAUUUUUUACGCCAGACGCGCGUUUCGUCUACAUAAGACUCAUCAGUGACGCUCAGAUCAAAAUAGUUAAAAAGCCAAACAAAUAAAAAGUUGAAGAGCAUUGAGGACCUAAAAUUCCAAAAAGUUGUGCCAAAUACGGCUAAGGUAAUCUACUCCUGGGGUAAGAAAAUCCUUAGUUUUUCGAAAAAUUCAAAGUUUUGUAAACAGAAAAUUUAUAAAAUGACCAUAUAAUUGAUAUUCAUGUCAACACGAAGUGCUGACUACUGGGCUGGUGAUACCCUCGGGGACGAAACGUCCACCAGCAGUGGCAUCGACCCAGUGAUAAUUUUUUUAUUGAUCUAUUGAUUUCUAAUGUCUACUACUAACGACUUUAUCUAUGAACUUGAUGAACCAUUGUUAUAUAUUUAGAUAUAUAUAUAUCAGUUUAAUUGAAGUCUGGAGCUGGCAUGUAAGUUAACUGCUAGUAGUCUGUUGUUAUUUAUGUAUCAUUGUCAUUUUGUUUAUUUUCUUUGGUUACAUCUUCUGACAUCAGACUCGGAUUUCUCUUGAACUGAAUUUUAAUGUUCGUAUUGUUAUGCGUUUACUUUUCUACAUUGGUUAGAGGUUUAGGGGGAGGGUUGAGAUCUCACAAACAUGUUUAACCCCGCCGCAUUUUUGCGCCUGUCCCAAGUCAGGAGCCUCUGGCCUUUGUUAGUCUUGUAUUAUUUUAAUUUUAGUUUCUUGUGUACAAUUUGGAAAUUAGUAUGGCGUUCAUUUACACUGGACUAGUAUGUAUUUGUUAAGGGGCCAGCUGAAGGACGCCUCCGGGUGCGGGAAUUUCUCGCUACAUUGAAGACCUGUUGGUGACCCUCUGCUGUUGUUUUUUAUUUGGUCGGUUUGUUGUCUCUUUGACACAUUCCCCAUUUCCAUUCUCAAUUUUAUAGCAUACAUGUGUAAUUCAGUUACAUUUAUAUGUUUAUACGGAAUUGUACAAGUGAUGUCGGGAAACGCCUUUUUGUUUACUUUCUCUCUGUUAUUAAAUGUCGUUAACGUAAGACGUGUUUUUGUUCAUGAGCUAGACCCAACCCAAAACUAAAGUUUAAAGACAAGGCCCAUAUCGUCACACCAUGCAUACAUCUUUGUUGUUUUCUAAAUUAAUAUAGCUUUAGUUUUGACAUGAAAUAGAAAGAAAAAAAAUAUGUGGAACACCCACUUGUACUAAACUCCAUACGCCAAUUUAUGGUCAAUAUCUUUUGUCAUCUUAUCAUGCAAAAUAGUUGACAUCUCAAUAUACAUUGUUCUUACAUGUACAUGUACUAGAACCAGCAGCCACAUUUCUAUCAUCUUUUCUUUCAGAUGUCAAUGGCCUUUUAAAAUCGUCAAUAUAAAAAAGAAGAUGUGGUAUGAUUGCCAAUGAGACAACUAUCCACAAAAGACCAAAAUGACACAGACAUUAACAUAUAUAGGUCACCGUACGGCCUUCAACAAUGAGCAAAGCCCAUACCGCAUAGUCAACUAUAAAAGGCCCCGAAAUGUAAAACAAUUCAAACGAGAAAACUAACGGCCUUAUUAAUGUAAAAAAAUGAACGAAAAACAAAUAUGUGACACAUAAACAAACGACAACCACUGAAUAUACAGGCUCCUGACUAGGGACAGACACAUACAUAAAUAAUGUGGCGGGGUUAAACAUGUUAGCGGGAUCCCGACCCUCCCCCUAACCUGGGACAGUGGUAUAACAGUACAACAUAAGAACGAACUAUAAAAAUCAGUUGAAAAAGGCUUAACUCAUCAGAUGAACAAAAUUAUAAGUGGAAUGUUUGUUUGAUUGACAUAGAAACUGGUUAGCUUCCAAUUGAGGGACCACGCUGGGGUUUGUCAAUGCUGCAAUUGUUGGGGUUUGCUACGUUUUUAUAUUAAACUCAAAAUCUUGUAAAUCAUUGUCACAAAUUUGACUUAUAUGACUGCUAUGAUACCAGUGAGAAAAUUUACAUUAAAAAUAAACUAUCAAUAGACCAAUUAAAGACUCGCACUAAAUUUCAUAGUAUAUACAUUUCCAUAGACUAACAUUAACCUUCACUUUUAUAAUAACUGAAUAACACAUGUACUGCACUGUGUAGCAUGAAAUUUUAUGUAUAAAGGUUUAAACAUUUUAUUUAAUGCUCAAAUACAUGCUUGAAUGUGUUCCCAUACUUUCAUACAGAUUAAAAGACCAAAAAUAUAAAUAACAUAAUAAUGGAGUCAUUAUGAAUUUAAAGAUAUGAAAAAAAUUGUUAAAAAUUGAGAAUUGUGAAAAAUUGUCGAAGGCUAAGAAUGAAAAAAAACAAAUGAAUUCCAUUUACAAUGUAUACUCAGUACCUAAAAAUACACACAUUAUUUUUUUUAGUUUCAACAUUUAAAACAACACUGUAACAUAAAAAUAAGGAAAUGUGCUAUGAUUAUCUAAAGUUGAAUGAGACAACUACAAAGUAUAUUGUACAUGUAUCGUAGUGUGAACAAAGAACCAGAAUGUAAUUAGUCUACGGCCUUCAACAAUGUUCAUUUGUAGUAUUGUAUAUGUAUGCAAAACCAUUCUAUGUCAAUUUUGAAAUAUUGAAUUUUAAUUGAGACAGGUAUUUUACUAUAAGCAACUAUUGUUCUCUUAUUGAAAAAUUAAAAUUUAAAAAAAAGUUAUGAUCCUUUAAUCUAGAUUUAUGCAUAAAUAAUAAUCAUGAUCAUUUUCUAUCUUUCUUUCAGUUAUGUCAACAAGAUCGUACAAUGGUGGUGAUCUGAAGUAUUCUGAGAAGUGGGCCUCUUAUGCCUUCAUGUGGAGCAU